rnacentral:lncRNA from 1 species
UUGGAUCUAAGGAAUAAAGUGAAGGAAGUGUUCCCUGUGAACCCAUGAGACUUCAUCCCUGCGUUGGUCUGGCUGGCUUUCCCUGUGAGAUACAGGUUCCUCCUGAAGAGCUGAAGCUCCAUUCCAGCUCUAGACUUCUCCUUGCUUUCAGACUUCAAGAUGAGAAGCAUUUUUCCAGUCCACAAGUGUUAGAGGACACUGCCGAUGAUGUGUGUUUUGCCCAGGCUGGACUCAGCUUCUUUGUCUCGUUUUGAAAGAAGAGUCAUGCUUCAAUUAAUAACAGACAACGGAGUCAAUAUGAAGGGAGCAGAGACAAUGAUGUGAUCAAAUGCCAAGAAAUGACUGACAGCAGAAAAAAUAUCAUGUGAGCCAAAGCAAUUUCACUUGACUUCUAACUUUAUUCAUCCAACGAAUAACAUUUCAUCACAGUUUUAUCAAUGGAAUGCAAUUCCACCCAGAUCAUUCUGUCAACGACAAGAAACAGCAUCAAAUCAUUCUGUCCACACAAAUAAAUCAAUUGUUGAUUAUUAUUUUCUUCUAUUUGGGAUACAAGGAGGACCAAAUAUUUCGAGUAAAACAAAGGAAAGGAAAGCAGAAAAACUUUUUGUUGUUGUUGACAAAUCCAGCUGGGUAAAUGCAAUUUAUGUCUUUUGAAAAAAUGCAUCCUGAUGUGAGGAGGGAUAAACUGUUUUUAAACUCGAACCAGGGACAAACUGUAAUAAUAAACACACUGGAAGAAAAUGCAACCAUUUAUUGGUUCUUGCAGAUAAAAUAGCAUUUCCAGUUUUUUUUUUUUUGUUUUUUUUUUUUGCUGUUGCUUAUGUAGUUCUCCUUACUGGAAUUCCUCUCCCUUUCUUUGAAUGUAUAAUCACAUUUUGAGAAAACACGAAAUCUCAGGGUCUUACAAAAUCCAACAGGGGAACGUGUCAUCUUUAAAUGACAAGCUGUGUGGGGAGUACUCUGGUUAUGAAUUAGGCUGUUUUUCCUAGUACUGCAAUUUCUUCUUGCUGCCAUUUCGAUGGUGUUGAAAGCCCUUUCUCCAGACUUGUAAGUUGGUGGUCCACUACUGAAUGGAAAGAAAUCUGGUUUUCCAUAUGUUCUCACUCAUAGGUGGGAAUUGAACAAUGAGAACACUUGGA